UGAAUGCACGUUUUGUAAGUCGCUUUGGAUAAAAGCGUCAGCUAAAUGACAUGUA
rfam:Gasterosteus aculeatus cont1.000459, whole genome shotgun sequence.